UCGAUUCGAGCGCAGCGAGAAAGCGUUGCCGCAGGCAACGACCCGAAGGGCGAAGCGCGCAGCGCUGAGUAAUCCUUCCCCCACCACCA
rnacentral:sRNA from 2 species